CCCUUAGAUGUUCUGGGCUGCACGCGCGCUACACUGAAGCGUUCAACGAGUAUUCACCUUGCCCGGGAGGGUUGGGUAAUCUUUUGAAAACGCUUCGUGAUGGGGAUAGAUUAUUGCAAUUAUUAAUCUUCAACGAGGAAUUCCUAGUAAGCGCGAGUCAUCAGCUCGUGCUGAUUACGUCCCUGCCCUUUGUACACACCGCCCGUCGCUCCUACCGAUUGAAUGGUCCGGUGAAGCGCUCGGACCGCGGCCUCUUGACGGUUUUCCGUCGAUUGGCUGUGGGAAGUUCGUUAAACCUUAUCAUUUAGAGGAAGGAGAAGUCGUAACA
rnacentral:rRNA from 1 species